GGCUCUAUAGCUCAGUUGGUUAGAGCGUCUGCCUAGUAAGCAGAAGGUCGAGGGUUCGAAUUCCUCUGGAGCGUUUCU
rnacentral:tRNA from 1 species